AUGCUCAUGUACGUCGACUAUCUUGAUCUGUCCACCGUGGAUUUCACUGGGAUAGGAGGCCCGCCGCCUACGCAGAAGUUUGCUGUUUGUGCAUGGACUAUCAACACUGUCAAGGCUGUGCUUGCCGCAGACAGGGUAACUGAUACCAAAUAUGGAAAACUGCAGCUGAUGGCCAAGCAUGCUAUAGACUACAGCGUGUUUGGGGGGCCUCAAAACUUUGGAAAGUGGAUGGACGUGCACUCAGCUUCGUCUUUCCCUACUGAGGCAAGGGCACCUAUUGAGCAUCUAAUUGGGCAGUUUGCAUCCGGAAUGACCGGCUUGCUCGGGAAGUUGGUUGAGGGGUGGACGUCUCUUAGUGGCUCUGACAGUGACGCGGUUGCGAGGCAGUUCACUUGGUUUGUCCCAGAAUGGACACAUCGGCCAACUGGUUGCCGUGGCCGGUAUGACUACAACAGAUCCCAAGAGCUUGCUGACACACAAGAUGAACUAGAUGGAGAUGCUAGUAUCAGCAAGGAUGAGGACGAUGACAUGGAGAACGCGGAAGAGGACACUGAUGAUGAUGAACAUGCUGAAGUUCGUGCAGGUGCUAACAAGGGGAAGGAUGCACCAUAUGUCCCCCCACCAGAGAAAGUCAAAGACCAUACGGCUGCAAGAGGCGAGGGGGUGUUGCCAUCAAAGAGGGGGAGGGAUCCAUAG
rnacentral:rRNA from 1 species